AAGGGUCUGCUGAAAUAUGAUGAGGAAAACUAGAAGAAAAGUCCAGGCCCUGAGACUGGCCCUUAGUGCCCGGCGGAAGACUCUGGACUUUAACCUGGAGAUGACGGAGGAUGUGCAGGAUAAAGUCCAUACCAAAUCCAACACCUAGCAAAUGGGGCACAAGCCAAAACUCACAAGAUGAAAUGCAGCAGGAAAAAGUGCCAAGUCCCUGGAUGGAACUGCUAUUCCCAUGUGAUGUUUCUAUCAAGUUUCUCCUGGACUUGGAGCAAACGUGACUUUCUCAGGUCAUUGUGCAUCUUCAUGCAGAGUUUACUGAGCCACCUGAGGUAACAUUUUCAAAAACUUGGAGGAAAGGUAUUGCUGUCCAGAGUGAUCAAGUGUUCCACUUUACCUGGGACUAAAGGGUUUCCUGGGAUGUACUUUCAGAGCUCAAACGCCAAGAGUCGUGAGCAAACCAGAAUCAUCACUCAUCCUGCAACAGACCAGAAUCUUCUCCUUUAUUUCCUCCCACUUCCAAUGGUGUUUCUUUAAGAGACUGAAGAGGUGGCAUACAUGUCUCAUAAUUAUUUAUCCUCUGGCUUUAAUUUGCAGAAAUCUCGUCUAUGUUUUAAAGGUUUUUCAGGGAAGCAUUCUUGUCAUGUUCUAGGUUUUGCAAAUCUAGAAUAUUCACCACAGCAGACUUUCCUACCAGUUUCCUUGAGAUUUUGUUUUCUGGUAAAUUGUUCCAUAUGACAUUUCCUUUUGGUGAAAAGUAGAUUCCCUCAAUCUUCAUAAGCCAAAUGUAGUAGAAAGAACACGGACUUUGGAAACUUAAAAAUAUGCUAUUGAGGCCAGGUGCAGUGGCUCAUGCCUGUUGUCCAGCAC